ensembl:lncRNA
GGCAAGCGGAGUCAGGUUGCGGAUACAGGAUUCCCUCCAGGUUCGGAGCUCUCGGCUAGCUCUGGAUGCUCCGAGGAGGACGUGGAUGGCAGCCGAGGUACAGUGAUGAAAAAGUCAUGGAAUUUAACGUAAACUCUUCAAACCCAGUGGAUUUUCAGAUGUCAAGGAGAUCUGUGGUAAUUCAGUGACCACCAGGGGGCAUCAGGAUCUCUGGGUGUCCUGAAUAACCAAGCCUGCACUGAAUAAGGAUGAGGAUGCAGCAUUCAGUGCCACAAAUGAUGUUAUGGAUUAUGGCAAGAAUAAAGAAGCUUUUAAAGGCAUGUCCAUCAACUUUUUCUGAGAGAAAAGAGCCUUGAAGCCGUGCAUUCCUGUUGCUUCCUGUUCUUCGCCUUCCUCCUUUAUCCCACGUGGGACAUAAUACAGACUGAGAGUGUAUAAAUAAAAUGAU